GAUGAAGAACGUAGUGAAAUGCGAUAAGUAGUGUGAAUUACAGAAUUCAGUGAAUCAUCGAAUCUUUGAACGCACAUUGCGCCCUUUGGUAUUCCAAAGGGCAUGCCUGUUCGAGCGUCAUUUGUACCCUCAAGCUUUGCUUGGUGUUGGGCGUCUUGUCUCUAGCUUUGCUGGAGACUCGCCUUAAAGUAAUUGGCAGCCGGCCUACUGGUUUCGGAGCGCAGCACAAGUCGCACUCUCUAUCAGCAAAGGUCUAGCAUCCAUUAAGCCUUUUUUUUCAACUUUUGACCUCGGAUCAGGUAGGGAUACCCGCUGAACUUAAGCAUAUCAAUAAGCGGAGGA
rnacentral:misc_RNA from 1 species